rnacentral:rRNA from 1 species
GCUAUACAUGCAGUCGAGCGGACAGAAGGGAGCUUGCUCCCGGAUGUUAGCGGCGGACGGGUGAGUAACACGUGGGUAACCUGCCUGUAAGACUGGGAUAACUCCGGGAAACCGGAGCUAAUACCGGAUAGUUCCUUGAACCGCAUGGUUCAAGGAUGAAAGACGGUUUCGGCUGUCACUUACAGAUGGACCCGCGGCGCAUUAGCUAGUUGGUGAGGUAACGGCUCACCAAGGCGACGAUGCGUAGCCGACCUGAGAGGGUGAUCGGCCACACUGGGACUGAGACACGGCCCAGACUCCUACGGGAGGCAGCAGUAGGGAAUCUUCCGCAAUGGACGAAAGUCUGACGGAGCAACGCCGCGUGAGUGAUGAAGGUUUUCGGAUCGUAAAGCUCUGUUGUUAGGGAAGAACAAGUGCAAGAGUAACUGCUUGCACCUUGACGGUACCUAACCAGAAAGCCACGGCUAACUACGUGCCAGCAGCCGCGGUAAUACGUAGGUGGCAAGCGUUGUCCGGAAUUAUUGGGCGUAAAGGGCUCGCAGGCGGUUUCUUAAGUCUGAUGUGAAAGCCCCCGGCUCAACCGGGGAGGGUCAUUGGAAACUGGGAAACUUGAGUGCAGAAGAGGAGAGUGGAAUUCCACGUGUAGCGGUGAAAUGCGUAGAGAUGUGGAGGAACACCAGUGGCGAAGGCGACUCUCUGGUCUGUAACUGACGCUGAGGAGCGAAAGCGUGGGGAGCGAACAGGAUUAGAUACCCUGGUAGUCCACGCCGUAAACGAUGAGUGCUAAGUGUU